AUACUGCUGCAUCGCCUCCCAAACUCUCCUGUGUGUCUCCUGAGUGUUUCGACUCGCUGCUCUCAGCUUUCUCCGACUCUUCUUUUACUUUGAAUCUGACAGAAAGCCCAGACCGAGCAGCAGGUAUACCACGUUAUGCUGCGUUUGUGUCGCACGCAAAUGACGUUAAGGGACUUUCGGCUCGCCGUGCUAUGACGACACCACCCACGAUGAGGCUAUAUGGAAAAACAACUAAACCGAGACGAGCCGAGUCAAAUACUAUACUGAGUGAAAGUAGCAGUUCCUCCUUAAGGUCAGAGAUUGCAGCAUCUGAGGGCCUCUUCAAAAGAAGACGUAGUUGAUGAAGGCGUUCUGGAGCAGGACCAGAAAGACCACGACCAAGCAGCCUUGAGAUCUUAGGCAGCGUCUCCCUCAGAGUUCUGCCGGGCCAGCUCAGCUUCCCCUCAGAAGAAGUGCCGCCACCUGCCAGAUGAAGGAGCCUUUUGAGAGGCAGCUGGCAUCGUGAUUGGACUGUACUUUGGUCUGUUCCAAUCCAGCUUCAGCUCCAGAGACGGCAGGCAGGACGAGUCAGCGGAGGCCGGGUGGACGAAGGCAUGCAGCUGAGUGGAAACAAAAAUGUGAUUUUUCAACAUGUUGUAAAAACGUGCCAUAUGAUGAAAUAAUGUAAAGGAGGGCAAGAAAAACAUUAUGGUAAGCUUUUCUUUGAAAAAAGAAAAUCAUCAUGAAUUUUGGCGCAAAAAACGCCAGAGUAUACUAUGUCGGGGAAAAAAAUUCGUUUUUUCAACAUGUUGUAAAAACGUGCCAUAUGAUGAAAUAAUGUAAAGUAGGCCAUGAAAAACACUCCAGAAAGGUUUUCUUUGAAAAAAAAUCAUCAUGAAUUUUGGCGCAACAGAAACGCCAUAGUAUACUAUGUCGAAAAAUGUCAUUUUUCAACAUGUUGUGAAAACAUGCCAUAUGAUGAAAUAAUGUAAAGGAGGCCGUGAAAAACAUUAUGGUAAGGUUCUCUUUGAAAAAAAGUCAUCAUGAAUUUUGGUGCAAAAAAAAACGUCAUAGUAUACUAUGUCGAAAAAAAACCUGCGAUUUUUCAACAUGUAAAAACGUGCCAUAUGAUGAAAUAAUGUAAAGUAGGCCGUGGAAAACACUCCAGAAAGGUUUUCUUUGAAAAAAAAAUCAACAUGAAUUUUGGCGCAAAAAAAACGCCAUAGUAUACUAUGUUGAAAAAAAACCUGCGAUUUUUCAACAUGUUGUAGAAAUGUGCCAUAUGAUGAAAUAAUGUAAAGGAGGCAGUGAAAAACACUCCAGAAAGGUUUUCUUUGAAAAAAAAUCAACAUGAAUUUUGGCGUGAAAAAAAAUGCCAUAGUAUACUAUGUCGAAAAAUGUCAUUUUUCAACAUGUUGUGAAAACAUGCCAUAUGAUGAAAUAAUGUAAAGGAGGCAGUGAAAAACACUCCAGAAAGGUUUUCUUUGAAAAAAAAAAUCAACAUUAAUUUUGGCGUAAAAAAAAAAAACGCCAUAUUAUACUAUGUCGAAAAAUGUCAUUUUUCAACAUGUGAAAACAUUCCAUAUGAUGAAAUAAUGUAAAGGAGGCAGUGAAAAACACUCCAGAAAG
ensembl:lncRNA